GUCCAGCUGAGGCCCUCUUGGACAACACUUCCUCUCCUGCCCAUGAUGAGGAAACUGAGGCCCCACGUGGUGAAGACAAUUUUUACCCGAAUCCACCCACAACAAGAGACCAUUUGGAUAAUGUACAUUAUGGGAAGAGAACAGAGUCUCAGUGAAGAUCAUGUUUCCCCAGCAACACAGGUGCCAGGAGUAGCUGGCUCUGGUCCCAGCCCAGACUCAGAAAUCCUGAGCCACCAGACCAUUUCUAGAUUAACAAUGACCCACUGGAAACCAGUGUCAGCAUAACAACAGUUACGAGAGCUAAACCUACAAAAUAGCGCUUACUGGGUUUGGGCAGGUUUUCUUUGAUGGCAGUUCUGCUCUAAAGAUGGAUAAGGAAGGAGGUUCCAAGAUGGCCGAAUAGGAACAGCUCCAGUCUACAGCUCCCAGCAUGAGCAACGCAGAAGACAGGGGAUUUCUGCAUUUCCAAUUGAGAACACAGGAGCUAUGUGGAGAGUUGAUGGAGGGACAUUCCAGGCAGAGAGAACAGCAAACACAAAGGCCUUGAAGGGAGCGGUGGCUUACAUCUGCAAUCCCACCACUUUGGGAGGCUGAGGCAGGUGGAUUGCUUGAUCUCAGGAGUUCGAGACCAGCCUGGGCAAUGUGGUGAAACCCAGUCUCUACCAAAAAAUACAAAAAUUAGCCGGGCAUGGUGAGCAUGCCUCUGGUCCCAGCUACCCAGGAGGCUGAGGUGGGAGAAUCACUUGAGCCUAGAAGGUCAAGGCUGCAGUGAGCCGUGAUUGAGCCACUGCAUUCCAGCCUGGGUGAUAGGGCUCAACACCACAUGGAAGCUGCCAAGGCUUGGGGCUCGCACCAUCUGAAGACAUGGUCUGAACUCUACGUUGGCCCUUUCAGCCAUGGCUGGAGCAGCUGGAACGCAGGGCAUCAAGUCUCUUGGCUGCACACAGCUCAGGGAAGCUGGACCUGGCCCAUGAAACCACUUUUUCUUCCUAUGCCUCCAGACCUGUGAUGGGAGGAGCUGCCAUGAAGACCUCUGACAUGCCCUAGAAACAUUUUCCCCAUUGUCUUAGGGAUUAACAUUCUGUGCCUUGUUGCUUAAGUAAAUUUCUGCCUCAUUGUCAGGCUGC
rnacentral:lncRNA from 1 species